rnacentral:rRNA from 1 species
UAGGGAAGUCUUCGGCAAUGGACGAAAGUCUGACCGAGCAGCGCCGCGUGAGUGAAGAAGGUUUUCGGAUCGUAAAACUCUGUUGGUAGAGAAGAACGUUGGUGAGAGUGGAAAGCCCAUCAAGUGACGGUAACUACCCAGAAAGGGACGGCUAACUACGUGCCAG